UUUUUUUUUUUUUUUUUCCUCCCCUCAAUCCUCCUAAGAAAUUACCAGAAUAAGAAAAGAAAAAUAGUGAAAUAAUAAAGCUGCUUUUGUUGUUGAUGUUUUCGUUCAAAUUGUAUAAAUAAAAGCAUGGGUAGAAAAAAAAUUUUUGAGUUUAUCCAAAACUGCAUCUCCUUUUAUACAUACUUCAAACUCAUCCUCAAAUAAAUUUGCCUUCUCAUUCAUGAACCUAAUCACCAUCUGAGAAUCUAAUAUUAGAAAGGAAUACGAAAAAAAGGGGUGGGAAGCUACAAUUACACCAAAACU
rnacentral:misc_RNA from 1 species